rnacentral:misc_RNA from 1 species
GAUGAAGAACGUGGCGAACUGCGAUAAGUAAUGUGAAUUGCAGAAUUCAGUGAAUCAUCGAGUCUUUGAACGCACAUUGCGCCCCCUGGCAUUCCGGGGGGCAUGCCUGUCCGAGCGUCAUUGCUGCCCUUCAAGCCCGGCUUGUGUGUUGGGUCGUCGUCCCCCCCGGGGGACGGGCCCGAAAGGCAGCGGCGGCACCGCGUCCGGUCCUCGAGCGUAUGGGGCUUUGUCACCCGCUCGAUUAGGGCCGGCCGGGCGCCAGCCGGCGUCUCCAACCUUCUAUUUUACCAGGUUGACCUCGGAUCAGGUAGGGAUACCCGCUGAACUUAAGCAUAUCAAUAAGCGGAGGA